rnacentral:lncRNA from 1 species
CCGCCUGCGCCCUCCGCUCCCCCACGGGAGCGGCGCGAAGAGAAACUCCCUCUUCCCCACCCUCCGCCUUGCGGAGCCCCCCCUACCACCGCUCUCCUCGUGAGCCGCGACACAGAGGCGGCGGGGGCCCGAGCUGACGGCGACCCUCCGGCCACGCAGCCCCAGUGUCUUGAGUUACCCGAGGAGGGGGCCAGGCAGGCAGGCAGGCAGGGAGCGGGGGGGCGGAGGAGGAGGAGAAGGAGGAGGAGGAGGGCUGCGCGCGGCUGAAAGCCGCUCCUGCGAGAUGCUGCAAGCGCAGCUCCCCGCCGGAGGGGGGUAGCAGCCUCUGCCGCCGCCGGCUGCUGCCUGUGCGAGGGCUGUUGCCGCCGCUGGACGCAACCUCCUCCCGACAUGGAGCUGUCGCCGCCGCUGCUGGAGUGAGCGAGUGAGCGACGGGCGGAGCAGCCGGCCGCAUGGAUGGAUGUGUUUAGCUUUGUGAAGCUUGGGAAGCUCUCCGGGUGUAACAGUCCCAGCUCUCUCAGUCUCUCCUUGUAUGUCAGUGGAUCAUCUUCAUGGCCUGUUGCUGGACUGAUUCCACUGUGUUGUGCUUGUUUCAUACUGGGGAGCUGAGAACCAGACCCAGCACUGAAGAUGCAUCUCAUCAGGAAUGAAUGUAAGGAAAGGAUCUCCCCACUCGACCUGCUGCCGUCUCUCUUCCUAACAGCUCCAGUGUGAACAUUUCUGUAAACUGAAAUAUUCUAUAACACAGUUCAGUGCUUCUUGGGAGCCUUCCUUUUAGAGUUGCUUUGCCACAAACUGAGGUUGUGCUCUAUGAGCUUGCAGUGUUUUCCUUAGAUUGCCAUGCUGGUCUCAAGCUAUACGUUCACUCUUGGUAGCUGAGAGGAAUCUACAUCGGACUUAAUUUAUUUCCGUCAUUGCUUUCAUUUUUCUGUUACCAGCUUUCUUUUCCUUGGUCUUAACCCAUCUCAGAAAGCGAAGAAACAAACAUAUCUUAGCAAAAGUGAGAUUUACAGAAGUUUGCUCAGAACUGGGCAUUCAUUAAGAAAUUUGUCCAAAACAUUCAUUUUUAGAUGUAGAAGAGAAAGAUGCUUCUGUCAUUCCCUCUCCCAUUUUAUCGGGAAGAUCUAGGUGUUUGAUAAUUGCUGAAUAUUAUGAUAUUGGUGCUUUAAGUACUUUUAAUAAAUUAGCAAAUAUGAGGUGGAAUUGUUAUUAGUAUAUAAUCAGUACAAAUUAUGUAGAAUCUACAACAUUUACAAAAUGUUUGCUCAUUAAAUUCUGAGUAACGCUUUUCAAAGGACUGCAUUUUGAAAUCCAACAUACUUCGGUGGAAAUGUGAGAUAGAGAACUCAUUGAGGUGUGUACAUUUGAUAAAAACAAUUCCAUGUUUCUUACUGUAAUUUGCUUCAGUGUUUUUCUUACACCGAUACUUGCAAUUAGAGAAAUAAUUAGGACUUCUGGGAGAAAGCCCGUGAUAUGUUAGCUCCAUCAUACGGUGCUUAAAUAUCUGUCAUUUUGAUGAGCUACUCAGUUGUAAGAUUUGCUUGUUGGUUGCUCUGGUGCAAGUCAAAACAGCGUUAAUCACACACUGAUGUGCGGUUGUUGCUGAGCAGUAGGAGCACCUCUGGGCCAGGCUGGGAUGCUUGGGUGGGGUAGAGCUGCUCCCAUGAUGGUUCAGGGCAGAGGCAGGAUGGGGCCAGGGCAGUGCCUGAAUGAGGCUGGGGCCAUUGUGUGCCGUGUGACACCAGGCGGAGGGCCAUAAUGCUGUGGACAGUGGUGGGAGUGAGGCCUCGUGCUGGCAGGUAUCAUUCCUUCUACAUUUUGUUUCCUCAUGGCUCUUCAGUAUUUCUUCCUGUGCAGCCAGGGUAGUGCCCUGACAACAAGAUAGUUGCUUGGUAUUUCAUUUUGUCCAUGCUAUCUCUGUUUCACAUUACCUAGCACGUGCCUGCAUUCUGUAGUACAUACAGAAUCAUUUUUUUUCACAGUUGCUCUGUGACAUUCAUAUUGCAGUGUUUGCAUGCUCAAAAAUAUCAUGAAUUUAUUUUAUGUUUCUGUGCUGUAAGAUUAGACAGAUUUUUUUUUCUAUUUACAGUAUUGGAGUUGAAAAAUGAAAUGAUUAAGGCUGAAGCACUUGAACGUCUCAGUCUUCGUGUGCAGAGCAGGACAGGUAUCAUAGAAUCACAGAAUGGUUUGGGUUGGAAGGGACCUCAAAGCCCACCCAGCCCCUGCCAUGGGCAGGGCUGCCCCCCACCAGCUCAGGCUGCCCAGGGCCCCAUCCAACCUGGCUUUGAGCACUUCCAGGGAUGGGGCACCACAGCUUCUCUGGGCAGCUGUGCCUGCCCCCUGAGAAAAGUAGGCCUGUUUGGGUUUUUUUGGUUUUAUUUAUUUUUUUAAUGAUACUGGAUGUUUUUCUAGACCUUUUCAAUAAUAAGAACCUUUU